rnacentral:rRNA from 1 species
GCAGAAUUCAGUGAAUCAUCGAGUCUUUGAACGCACAUUGCGCCCCCUGGCAUUCCGGGGGGCAUGCCUGUCCGAGCGUCAUU